GCUCAGCAGUUGGAUUUACGGAAUUGAGUAUCAAAGUCAUAAAAGUCAUACAAAUUAUCGUUUUCCUUGAGAACUGCCUUGAGUUUACAAAGUGACUGAGCUAUCCUGCUAGCCAUUGCCUGUGAUCCUCUUAACUGGGUAAUGAAAUAUCAAAUUAUAUUUUUAAAGAAUAAAAUACAGAAGACUCUCAGGCCACAUCCUCACCAUACAUUUAAAGCACUAGUAUAUCCCCACAAAUCUUGGGAACUGUAGUUUGCUGAGCACACAGGGUUGCUAGGAGACACUAAUUCCCUUGACAGAGCUACCAUUCACAGAGUUCCCUGAGAACAGGCAUUGAUUAUUAAACGACUCUGGGAAUGGUUGCUCUCUUAGGGGAAAUAGAGAUCUCCUAACAAUUCUCAGCAAACUACAGUUCCCAGGUUUUUUUGUGGGAAAGCCCUGACUGUUUAAAGUUAUGAUUCUGCUUUAAAUGCAUGGUGCUGACAUGACUUAUACCCAAAGAGCAGCCCCUGCCACCCCAAUCUUCUCUCUGGAAAAAGAAGAAGAAGAUGAAUUACUGCUGACCAUAUCUAUGAUAGCCUGGUUCACACGUUGUGGUUAACUACCUAAGCAAUGUGCCUAGGGUGGGGAGAAAUUUAACUCAGUUCACAUUUAAAGGUGAACCGGCCUAAUUCACAGCUUCCUGAACACUACAGGAACUGAAAAAUUGUGAUUCUGCAAAAUUCACACUUCUCCAAAUUCUGCAAUGUAGUUCUCAAGCCAGGUGAUCUGUACAAAAAUGCACAUGCUUUGGUAAACUCUACAUUAGCAAACACAACAUACAAAAAUGUGUUAUAUUAGGGAAACUUAUAUGUGUCUUACAAGAAAUCCACACAAAAAACUUGAUGGAAUUUUCAUGAGGCCGUUUAUUUUUUUUAAUUGCAAACUGUUGUGAAAAUGUAGAGAGAACUGACUUUAAGGUUGGAAAACUGAGAAACCAAAAUUGACAGAUUCCUAGCCCAGGAAAACUUAGGACUGCUCAUGUGUGUAUUGUGUGAAUAUAUUUCACUUCUAAGUAAUAUAUUUAAAUUUUGACUAUCAAUCUGGAAUUGACAUUCCAUUAAUUUUGUUCACCGUUUUGAAGAACGCUGUUCUUCACGCUGAUGGCUUCUUGUGCCUUGGAGGUAUUACCUUGCAGAUGGCAAUUUAGUUGGUAGCAGUUUUUCUUUUUUUGAUAGACAGCCGCCACCAAUCAUCUACUUCCUUCAAACAAGCCUCAUCUGCAAGCUUUUUGAUACUGACAUCAAAAAAUGUUUAGCCAGCGCCCUUUAACAGCAGAAUUUUAAGCAACACUAGAUGAACGUUGAUGGCCUCCUGAGAUAUGAAAAACAUGUACACUUGACCACAUUGUUGAGGGUGAGCUGUAGCAGGGAGAGAAGUAAGCGACAGAGUCUCUGUAUUAGCAAACCAACGUGAGUUUUGGAAAUAAGAAACCUAGCAGAUUUCUUAGAAGUCUAACAAGGAGUCAUGUCAGUGACACGCCAGCACUUAGAGCUAAUUCUCACAUUUCCCGCUGAGGACAAAUAGUAACCAGAAGUGCCCGGCAUUUCUUUGGUUACAUAGCGAGGGAAACCAGAAGCCAUCUCAUGUUCCUGAAGCUGAGGUCAACCCUGGCUGGAUUACCUUUUAACAAAACAAAACAAAACAAAACAAAACAAAACAAAACAAAACAAAACAAAACAAAACAAAACAAAACACACAAGAGCCCUAUAUUAGUUCUGUGUCCAUGACCCUAUGAAUCUUAGAAAACCAAUUGUUAAAUAAUUCGUCACAGAUUCAUAUAAAUACUCAGUGGCUUGUUUGCUAAUUUUUAGAAGCCAUAUUGUAGGAACUGGAUGUUAUUCCUGUACUCACAAACACACACUCUCCCUUACUCAAAUAAUGGGAUUUAAUUGAACUUUCGUUUCGUUUCAUUAUAAACAAUGCAAACAUGAGUAGGAGAAGAGAGAGGUGGACAGAGAAUUAAGGUGUAAGAGGAGCAGGCAAGGAGAAGGGGAUUAUUGGGAAGAAAAGGAGAAUGUGGAAACUGUUGAAUUGAUCAGCGCUUAAGGAGAGCAUUCAUUCCAGAUGUCCACAUAAGUGCCCUGUAACUAUUGCCAAUAGUAAUCUGCAUGUUUAAAUGAAAUAGCAGUAAGAUUCGCUAUUCAUUGUCAUCAUUUAAUAUUGUUACUUUAGUUUUACAUCAUUUAGACCAUACAAGGCAAUUUACGUAGGGUGCAAACACCGACACACACAAAAUGACAUAAAAGCACAAACUAAAUGUGACGCUACAUAAAUUAAAACUAUUUAGAACCACCAGUUAUCCUCACAGGCAUAAGUAUUAUCGCCAUAUUAAACAGAUGUUAACAAAGCCAGGAAAUCACAGAGGAUAUAAAUUAACAGCCUAAAUGCCUGGGAUUAAUGAAAAAGAUACCAAUGUUGGUGCCAGGUGGUUCUCCUUCGAGCAUUCCACAGGCCAUUUUUCUUGCGUCAACCUUCUCUAAUUCUGCUGGAAAAGGGCUCAGAGGAGGGCCUUAGGUACCCUGGUAGGUUCAAGUUGGGAGAAACAAUCCACAAGGUAUGUAAGACUUUGAAAGUCAAAGCCAACAUUUUGAUGUGGGCCUAGAAGCAUAUGAGAAGCCACUGCAAUCAGGUCAGAAUUGUUGUUAUAUAUUUGAACUGUUUAAUCCUUAUUAUCAGUCUGGAAUUCUUCCCUAGCUGCAGUUUCUGGACCAUCUUCAAAGGUAGCCCCAUCACAGUAAUCAAACUGUGAGGUCACUAGAGCUCAGACUACAGAAACUAGGUUAUCUGCAGCCAGAUAAGGGUGCAGCUGGGUCUACUAAACCAGAUAUAUUUGCAGUUACCGUAAUAUGGAUCCAUAGUGAUAUCUAUGCAUUUUCUGCACCAAGCAAGUUAAUAAUUAACUAAUUUCUGAUACCCAAAAUUGAAUUUGUGAUAUACGCAAUGACAUUUGCAUGUAUUUUAACUACGUCAUAUUGUUUAAUCAUUGUUUCAGGAUUAGGAAAUCAAAGGAUGAGCAUUUAGGGUUGGGUUCUUUUCUUUUUCUUCGAAGGUGUGGAGCAACAAGGGAGAGCAAUCAGAAGGAAGUUCAUGAAAGCCAGCAGGAGAGCCAUAAUCAAUAGGGUCAGGGAACUGGAGGCAUGGGAAGAGCAAGGAGCCAGCAGGGAUGCAAGAAUCCCAUCCUUUGUUCCUUAAGAGUCCUGUGGAAAGUACUUCUACCUAGGAUGGAUUAUGGAGCUGAAGUCCAGGAGCCCAUAGCCCAUGAAACCCCCGUAUGAUGCCCCCCAAAUGACACCCCCCCGAGCAGCAGAUGGGAAAGUGGCAAACAGGCCUGGCACCAGAACUUAGGCUGGGAUGGCAUAAGAACUUAACAAGAACCUGCUGGAUCAGGCCAGAGACUCAUCUAGUCUAGCAUCCUGUUUUCCCAGAGGCCAACCAGAUGCCCAUGGAAAGCCUGAAAGCAGGACUUGAAUUCAACUUCACUCUCCCCUCCUGUGGUUUCCAGCAACUACCAUUCAGAGGUAUAGUGCCUUUGGCAGUGGAACAUAGUCAUCAGGUUUAAUAGCCUGGCAUGCUGGGGCCAUUGGGGCUGGUUGCCACAGCAUGCUUCCAUUGGUCUCUAGCCAGCCAGACUGAAUGGUGUUACAGGUGCUCAUUUUGGGGUUUUUUCUGUGUGUGCUCAUUCCCAAUUGAAUGUGUUUUAUCAUGCCAGCAGUAGAAGCAAAUCGCAUUUAAUUCCUGUAGUCUUGAUGAUUUAAAUGCGUUUUGAUUACAAAAGUGAUCCUGCUCCAAGUAUUCCUUCCUUCUUUCCUUCCUUCCUUCCUUCCUUCCUUCCUUCCUUCCUUCCUUCCUUCCUUCCUUCCAUCAGGUUUGGCAAACUUUCGUUGCUGCUGCAACGUAUCAGGAAUGCAGAAGCUGUUGUAAAGCAUAGAGUGAUGGUGGGGAUGUAUGUGGAGAAGAGGAAUGGCAAUUGCAUGCUUCACAGCUGGAGUAAUGCAUGUGGCUGCCUAACGGGGGUGCCCCGUAGGACCAAUGUAUCCAAAUUCUAGCAAGCUGGAUUUCGAAGGGGCAGAGAAACCAGAGACCAAAUUGCAAACAUGCACUGGAUUAUGGAGAAAGCUAGAGAGUUCCAGAAAAACAUCUACUUCUGCUUCAUUGACUAUGCAAAAGCCUUUGACUGUGUCGACCACCGCAAACUAUGGCAAGUUCUUAAAGAAAUGUGAAUGCCUGAUCACCUCAUCUGUCUCCCGAGAAAUCUCUAUGUGGGACAAGAAGCUACAGUUAGAACUGGAUAUGGAACAACUGAUUGGUUCAAAAUUGGGAAACUACAAGGCUGUAUAUUGUCCCCCUGCUUAUUUAACUUAUAUGCAGAAUUCAUCAUGCGAAAGGCUGGACUGGAUGAAUCCCAAGCCGAAAUUAAGAUUGCUGGAAGAAAUACUGACAGCCUCAGAUAUGCAGAUGGCACAACUUUGAUGACAGAAAGUGAGAAGGAAUUAAAGAACCUCUUAAUGAGGGUGAAAGAGGAGAGUGCAAAAUAUGGUCUGAAGCUCAACAU